rnacentral:rRNA from 1 species
UACGGAAGGCAGCAGUGGGGAAUAUUGCACAAUGGGCGCAAGCCUGAUGCAGCCAUGCCGCGUGUAUGAAGAAAGGCCUUCGGGUUGUAAAGUACUUUUCAGCGGGGAGGAAGGCGGUGAAGUUAAUAGCUUCACCGAUUGACGUUACCCGCAGAAGAAGCACCGGCUAACUCCGUGCCAGCAGCCGCGGUAAUACGGAGGGUGCAAGCGUUAAUCGGAAUUACUGGGCGUAAAGCGCACGCAGGCGGUCUGUCAAGUCGGAUGUGAAAUCCCCGGGCUUAACCUGGGAACUGCAUUCGAAACUGGCAGGCUAGAGUCUUGUAGAGGGGGUAGAAUUCCAGGUGUAGCGGUGAAAUGCGUAGAGAUCUGGAGGAAUACCGGUGGCGAAGGCGGCCCCUGGACAAAGCUGACGCUCAGGGU